GAGCUGCUCCACCUGCGCUUCU
rnacentral:miRNA from 1 species